GUGCUUCAGCAGCACAUACACUAAAACCGCAAAGAUACAGAGAAGAUUAGCAUGGCCCCUGCACAAGGAUGACACUAAAAUUUGUGAAGCAUUCCUAGCUUUC
ensembl:snRNA U6 U6 spliceosomal RNA